CAGCAGCCGCCGCCAGAGAGGCCCGCCCACCUGUUCGUCCGUCUCCCUGCCCCCUUCACAGUGCAGCCUGCUUCUGCAAAGUGGUACGAUCGAAGGGACUAUGUCUUCAUUGAAUUUUGUGUUGAAGACAGUAAGGAUGAUAAUGUAAAUUUUGAAAAAUCCAAACUUACAUUCAGGUGUCUCGGAGGAAGUGAUAAUUUUAAGCAUUUAAAUGGAAUUGAUCUUUUUCACUGUAUUGAUCCAAAUGAUUCCAAGCAUGAAAGAACGGACAGAUCAAUUUUAUGUUGUUUACAAAAAGGAGAAUCUGGCCAGUCAUGGCCAAGGUUAACAAAAUAAAGGGCAAAGCUUAAUUGGCUUAGUGUCGACUUCAAUAAUUGGGAAGACUGGGAAGAUGAUUCAGAUGAAGACAUGUCUAAUUUUGAUCGUUUCUCUGAAAUGAUGAACAACAUGGGUGGUGAAGAGGAUGUAGAUUUACCAGAAGUAGAUGGAGCAGAUGAUGAUUCACAAGACAGUGAUGAUGAAAAAAUGCCAGAUCUGGAGUAAGGAAUAUUGUCAUCACUUGGAUUUUGAGAAAGAAAAUAACUUCUUUGCAAGAUUUCAUAAUUGAGAGAAUUCCUGAGUUGAUAGCUCUAAAGGCAGAUGUUGUAUUUGCCUACUUUAACCCAUUUUUCAACCUGUUUGUUUUUUAAAAGGCUUCACUAAGGGUUGAUAUGUACCAUUGUAUGGGGCAAUUUUAAGUCAGCUAAGGCAAUAACCUUAUGCAUGAACAUUUCCCAGACUUUCAUGAAGCUGUUGAGGUCCUAGGCAAUUGAUGCAGCUGUUGUGAUAAA